rnacentral:rRNA from 1 species
AGGACGAACGCUGGCGGCGUGCCUAAUACAUGCAAGUCGAACGAACUCUGGUAUUGAUUGGUGCUUGCAUCAUGAUUUACAUUUGAGUGAGUGGCGAACUGGUGAGUAACACGUGGGAAACCUGCCCAGAAGCGGGGGAUAACACCUGGAAACAGAUGCUAAUACCGCAUAACAACUUGGACCGCAUGGUCCGAGUUUGAAAGAUGGCUUCGGCUAUCACUUUUGGAUGGUCCCGCGGCGUAUUAGCUAGAUGGUGGGGUAACGGCUCACCAUGGCAAUGAUACGUAGCCGACCUGAGAGGGUAAUCGGCCACAUUGGGACUGAGACACGGCCCAAACUCCUACGGGAGGCAGCAGUAGGGAAUCUUCCACAAUGGACGAAAGUCUGAUGGAGCAACGCCGCGUGAGUGAAGAAGGGUUUCGGCUCGUAAAACUCUGUUGUUAAAGAAGAACAUAUCUGAGAGUAACUGUUCAGGUAUUGACGGUAUUUAACCAGAAAGCCACGGCUAACUACGUGCCAGCAGCCGCGGUAAUACGUAGGUGGCAAGCGUUGUCCGGAUUUAUUGGGCGUAAAGCGAGCGCAGGCGGUUUUUUAAGUCUGAUGUGAAAGCCUUCGGCUCAACCGAAGAAGUGCAUCGGAAACUGGGAAACUUGAGUGCAGAAGAGGACAGUGGAACUCCAUGUGUAGCGGUGAAAUGCGUAGAUAUAUGGAAGAACACCAGUGGCGAAGGCGGCUGUCUGGUCUGUAACUGACGCUGAGGCUCGAAAGUAUGGGUAGCAAACAGGAUUAGAUACCCUGGUAGUCCAUACCGUAAACGAUGAAUGCUAAGUGUUGGAGGGUUUCCGCCCUUCAGUGCUGCAGCUAACGCAUUAAGCAUCC